rnacentral:lncRNA from 1 species
UCCCCCUCCGUAUCUCAUUACCCCUUCUCUUCAAAGACCACUCUUCUAAUCCUAGCGCCGCCCCCAAAUCCUCCACCCUCUCCGGUGGCGGCGCCACCUCAGAACAGUACCAAAUCAACACCACGAAAUCCUCAUGCUUUCCUCUUCCCCAAUCUCUAACUCUUUUUCCUUGAAUCUACCCCGAACCCGUUGAAUCUUGAUUUGAAGAGUGAAGCCCUAAAAGCCAGAAUCAAAUAUGUGCAUGUAAGGCUAUCUCUAAGAAUUUCGUGAGUGUUCAAGGCUUAGUUUAUCACAGAAUAAUGAUAUUCGCUUUUUCUUGACAAAGAACAUGCGAUUGACAUUAUUUUGGGUUAAAUCAGAAUGUCUCCAGUGAUUUCGAGUUUAAUCGGUGAGUUUUUCUUCGUCUUUUUGUCUGUUCUUUUAGUUUCACCUCUUCUUCUUCUUCUUCUUCUUCUUUUCUUCUCCGAUUAUUUGAGUCUAUUUUUUGAUUGAAAUUCUGAAUGGUGUCGAACCUAGUUCUUCCUUUUAGACUAAUUUGGUGUUCUUAUUUGCUCCGUUGGAUUUUCCAAUUUCUUCUUUAUAAUUUUUAAGCGUUGUGCAUUGAUUUUGUUUGUUCACUCCUUUAGUUUUUAUAUUUAGACUUCUAAUUUUGCCCUGUUAUUUUAGCCUCAUAGUUUAGUUUAAUUAUGUUUAUUUCAAUUGGUUAACCUAGUUAAUUCUAUGCACAUCUGUGUUUAUUAAUCAGUCAUUUGAUUCAGAUUUUUAAUUGUUGAAAUCAUUUCAGUGUUUAUGUUUUUCUGUUGCUUACAGAAUGUAGUUGGAUUAGUUUCUUGUUUGUUUCUGACCCAUUUGCAAAAAUAAAGGCAGCCCGUUCAUCUUGAUUUAGGAUAUUGGGUCAAUUUGACCUAUUUGGGUCGUUGAAGUAAAAAGCAGAGGUUUAAGGGGUAGUCUAGAAAUUCUAGAUGAGGGAAUCUUUAAUAAUUGAAUGGGAAACUGCCUAGAAGGUGGGGGUUGGGGAUUAUUUGAAAACCUAUUUUUUAAACUAGGGAUGGAACAACAAAGAUGAAAAUUCAAUAAGGAUUUAAGUGCAAAACUGAAUGCAUUUUCUGUUGCCUAAAGGCUUGCCUAUAAAGGCAUAGUUUCUUCUUUAGCAAGUCAGAUUUUAGAGACUAAAAUUCUGAAAAAAGGGUUGCAAACGGCUGAGCUAAAAAUACUUGAAAACGCUUGCAUUUUUGAUAGAAAUUAGUCUAAUUCUGCAAGUUAGCUUUCUAAUUUUGAAACCUUCAAAGAAUAUCUGGCUUAUUAUGGGAUUAAAAGAUGCUAAGGGCUAUUAGAUCACUGUUCCAUUACUGAUUUUUGAGCUGAUUUCUACUAUUAUUCCCUUUCGUUGGUUUACUACUGCUGCUGUUUCUUCCUGAUCUCAAGCUUGAUUUUCCGGUUUUGUUUUGCCAUAUUCAGGUACAUGUUCCUGAACCUUAUUUAAUGUGAGGCUCGAAUUGAAGAAUGAAAUGGAAAAAUAGAGUUUGAAGCAUGUUCUCAAUUUGCUUAUGAAUUCAGUAGUAUUUUCUCAUUGUAUGGUGUUUUAAUAGCCUGAAUCACUAUAUCUUCUAACUAAUUUCUGGUUUAGAUAGUAUAGUUUGUAUUCUUAUGUUUAAUUUGGGACUGUUGAGAUAGUAUAAUAGAUGGUUUAUUCCAAUUACAUGACUUGUUUUAUUUUGCUGAAAGUCAGUGUUUAUCCUUGGUGUUGGUCUCAUAUGGAACUUGCAAAACAACAAGUCUAGUUGGCUAUUUGAAGGGUAUUGUGAUGUGUUCUAAUGCUGUUGUUAUGUUUUGCUAGAAAAUAAGGUUUGAUUUGUGAUAUGUGAUCAUAAACCCAUGUUAAGAGUAGUUUAAUUUGCUUAUUAGUCUUGUUCAAGAUCUUUGCACAAUAAGUUCAGUGUUUAAUAUCUUGUUUAAAUGAGGGUUUAAACCUUGUAGUUUUGAAGUUUGGCUUGUUGUUGUGAAUGAGGAGUUCAGGAUCAUGUUAUGAGAGGUUUCACGUCAUUAUGUAAACACUGUCCAAAUUGAGUAAUCUUAAAGGAC